AUAGUCUCCCUGUUGUUGUUGGGCUUUCAAGUGCUUCCAGGUCUUAAAUAAUUUCUGGUUUCGGAGGGUUUAGUGUCCGACGAUGGUCUGAAUUAAAUAUCAAAUGCUUCUCUUCCUUAAAGACGGCUGAUCUCUGAAUACUCUGAAUAUUUGGCUCAAACAUGAUAAGAUUUUACGCAGCCGUCGCCUCAGAAAGCUCGUUUUGGUCUGCAGUGGAAAUAGAUGUGGUGCUUCUUCUCUCAUUUAAGGUGUGAUAAAGCGGAGCGCCGGCGUCCGUCUGCACGGUCUGGAUCUGCUCCCAGCAGUGGCAGCAUCAACAAGAGGCUUCGCCUCGGAAAUCCCACUUGAGUCAGGACGCAUCGCCCGGCCCGCGGACGGCUCUAAUCGCAUCGACAGGUGACACGUAUGUGGGAACCAGAAGAUGAUGGGGGAGACGAGUCGGAUCGUGUGACCUGCGCCUCACAUGCCUCCUCCGUGCGCCGUGAGUGUGUGAGGAGUUUCGCUGUGACAACAGAUGACAUUUAGGAAACAAUCUGAGGGGAAUCUUGUUAACAAGAUUCUGAGGUGACGUGUUUUAAAAAGCCUUUUCACUCCUCCUCUAUAAAUAUCUGUUCCUCCUCUUUAAGUUCGCUUUUCUCUGGAAAACAGCCUCCAACAUCUGUUCCUGGUGUCCUUAAAGGCCUCAUGGGUCUCUGCUAAUCAUCCAUCAUCAGCGCCAAACCAAAUAAAUAUGUUACAUUAUGUCGCUAAACGUAUCGAGCAUCAA